rnacentral:rRNA from 1 species
UGCAGAAGAAGCACGGCUAACUACGUGCCAGCAGCCGCGGUAAUACGUAGGGUGCGAGCGUUAUCCGGAAUUAUUGGGCGUAAAGAGCUCGUAGGCGGUUUGUCRCGUCUGUCGUGAAAGUCCGGGGCUUAACCCCGGGAUCUGCGGUGGGUACGGGCAGACUAGAGUGCAGUAGGGGAGACUGGAAUUCCUGGUGUAGCGGUGGAAUGCGCAGAUAUCAGGAGGAACACCGAUGGCGAAGGCAGGUCUCUGGGCUGUAACUGACGCUGAGGAGCGAAAGCAUGGGGAGCGAACAGGAUUAGAUACCCUGGUAGUCCAUGCCGUAAACGUUGGGCACUAGGUGUGGGGACCAUUCCACGGUUUCCGCGCCGCAGCUAACGCAUUAAGUGCCCCGCCUGGGGAGUACGGCCGCAAGGCUAAAACUCAAAGGAAUUGACGGGGGCCCGCACAAGCGGCGGAGCAUGCGGAUUAAUUCGAUGCAACGCGAAGAACCUUACCAAGGCUUGACAUGUUCUCGAUCGCCGUAGAGAUACGGUUUCCCCUUUGGGGYGGGUUCACAGGUGGUGCAUGGUUGUCGUCAGCUCGUGUCGUGAGAUGUUGGGUUAAGUCCCGCAACGAGCGCAACCCUCGUUCCAUGUUGCCAGCACGUCGUGGUGGGGACUCAUGGGAGACUGCCGGGGUCAACUCGGAGGAAGGUGAGGACGACGUCAAAUCAUCAUGCCCCUUAUGUCUUGGGCUUCACGCAUGCUACAAUGGCCGGUACAAUGGGUUGCGAUACUGUGAGGUGGAGCUAAUCCCAAAAAGCCGGUCUCAGUUCGGAUUGGGGUCUGCAACUCGACCCCAUGAAGUCGGAGUCGCUAGUAAUCGCAGAUCAGCAACGCUGCGGUGAAUACGUUCCCGGGCCUUGUACACACCGCCCGUCAAGUCACGAAAGUUGGUAACACCCGAAGCCGGUGGCCUAACCCU